AUUAAUUCGAUGCAACGCGAAAAACCUUACCUACCCUUGACAUGUCUGGAAUCCUGAAGAGAUUUAGGAGUGCUCGCAAGAGAACCGGAACACAGGUGCUGCAUGGCUGUCGUCAGCUCGUGUCGUGAGAUGUUGGGUUAAGUCCCGCAACGAGCGCAACCCUUGUCAUUAGUUGCUACGAAAGGGCACUCUAAUGAGACUGCCGGUGACAAACCGGAGGAAGGUGGGGAUGACGUCAAGUCCUCAUGGCCCUUAUGGGUAGGGCUUCACACGUCAUACAAUGGUCGGGACAGAGGGUUGCCAACCCGCGAGGGGGAGCCAAUCUCAGAAACCCGAUCGUAGUCCGGAUUGCAGGCUGCAACUCGCCUGCAUGAAGUCGGAAUCGCUAGUAAUCGCGGAUCAGCAUGUCGCGGUGAAUACGUUCCCGGGUCUUGUACACACCGCCCGUCACACCAUGGGAGUGGGUUUCACCAGAAGUAGGUAGCCUAACCGCAAGGAGGGCGCUACCACGUGAUCG
rnacentral:rRNA from 2 species